GUAGGGAAUCUUCCACAAUGGACGAAAGUCUGAUGGAGCAACGCCGCGUGAGUGAAGAAGGAUUUCGGUUCGUAAAACUCUGUUGCAAGGGAAGAACAAGUAGCGUAGUAACUGGCGCUACCUUGACGGUACCUUGUUAGAAAGCCACGGCUAACUACGUGCCAGCAGCCGCGGUAAUACGUAGGUGGCAAGCGUUGUCCGGAAUUAUUGGGCGUAAAGCGCGCGCAGGUGGUUCCUUAAGUCUGAUGUGAAAGCCCCCGGCUCAACCGGGGAGGGUCAUUGGAAACUGGGGAACUUGAGUGCAGAAGAGGAUAGUGGAAUUCCAAGUGUAGCGGUGAAAUGCGUAGAGAUUUGGAGGAACACCAGUGGCGAAGGCGACUGUCUGGUCUGUAACUGACACUGAGGCGCGAAAGCGUGGGGAGCAAACAGGAUUAGAUACCCUGGUAGUCC
rnacentral:rRNA from 1 species